ACAGAGGUGGCAAGCGUUGUUCGGAAUUAUUGGGCGUAAAGAGCACGUAGGCGGCCCUACAAGUCAGCUGUGAAAUCCUUCUGCUCAACGGAAGAACGGCAGUUGAUACUAUAGGGCUGGAGUGCGGGAGGGGAGAGUGGAACUUCUGGUGGAGUGGUGAAAUGCGUAGAGAUCAGAAGGAACAUCAGCGGCGAAGGCGACCCGCUGGCCCGUAACUGACGCUGAGGUGCGAAAGCUUGGGGAGCGAACGG
rnacentral:rRNA from 1 species